GUGAAUCAUCAAAUUUUUGAACGCAAAUUGCGCCUUUUGCUAAAGGCAUGUCUGUUUGAGGGCACCAUUUAACAAAUAAUAUGCAACGGUUUUUGUUGCACACGUUGAUGAGCUUUCCAAGAAUGGUAGAUUUUUGGUGGCGCAUAAUGAACAGCGUGAAGCUUUGUUUUCAGUUCGUGUGUAGUUAAAUCUUUGCUUGGGUUGUGAAAAGCGUAAUCGCGCAAUGGGUGUG
rnacentral:misc_RNA from 1 species